GUCACCAAUAAUUUUUUAUAAUUUAAUAUUAUCUAAUGAAAAAAUUAUUUUCGUAGCUAAUAAUUUUAUUUUUUAUGAGAAAAUAAUUUUGUCACUAAAUAAAUGAUUUAAUUGCUAAAAAUUUUUAGGGGGAAAUGAAUAUAUUGGCGCCUUUAGAUAUAUCUGUUCCUCUCACACACAGAUUCCAAACCUCGCCCUACAUGACCUCACCUCCCCCUUUCUCUUUUCUCACGCCUCACGCCUAUGUGUCUCUUCUCUCUCACGCCUCACGCCUCACGCUGCCCUCCUCUCUGUUACUAGAGCAUCACCGCAAGGGUUAGAUGAGCACAACUCAAGGGUUAGGUGAGCACACCGUAAGGGUUAGCACCACCGUCGCUUUGUCUCGGGUAGGGGAAUUUGGGGCUUUAUUGGCAUUAAACUGGAAAGGGCUUCUUCAGAGAUUAUGGAGUAGAUGGUUCUUGGACGGUUGAAAACUUAUGGAGUUGGGUUGGUUUUGUUGCGUGUUAGGGUGAUAUUUCUUUGAUAACCAGCAUCUCUAAUUUGUGCUUUUCGACUUUGCUUGGAUUGCUUUUCAAUAGAAUGCUAUUUAUAUACAUAUUGACUGUCUUAAUCUUGUUUUGCUGAUGGGAGGAAAGAAAACGUGAGCUUUGUUGAUAUCAUCCCUUGCUUCAUAUUGCAUUUUAGACUCCAUUGACAACUUGAUUUUGUGUAAAAUAUUUUUUGCGCCUAAAGAAGCUGUUAAGCUUUCCCGU